rnacentral:lncRNA from 1 species
GGAGUGCUCGUGUGUGCUGACUGCGUCACUGCUGCAGGAGCUGGGAGCUGCCGGCGCUGCCCCGGGGGCUCACCUGUCCAUUCUGGGAGAGGGGGGUCAGCCCCUUGGGCCUGGAGAUGAGUUGGGCUCAGGUCAGGCCCUCCAUACAGGCUGCAGCAACUGGUGAGGGGGACGAUGAGGGUUGGGGAGAUAUGGGGGCGAGGGAGGGGGUGAGAGGGUGAGAGGAUGUGGGUGGGAGAGCACUGCCCCGCUCCUGGAACCGGGCUCACCCUGGCUCCGUCUCCUUGCCCUCUGGGAUCGAAGUAUCUGCCCACACUCCUUUCUCCCGGGGUCCAUGCCGCCGUCCCCUCAUCCCCACACCCUCUUGCCAGCUCCUGUGCGCACGGGAAGCUGUCCUGCUCCGUGGGUGACUGCUCCAAGGCUGGGGUUGGCUUCGGUCCCCGGGGCCCAUGGGGCCCGUUUCCGCUCCUGUGGCGGGCUGGGCACCCGCACCUGCAACUGCCACUGUGCACGCCCCACACCCACUCCCCGUGGCCAGGACUGCCGUGGGCCCCGCCAGGACCUCGAGUACUGCCUCAGCCCGGACUGCCCAGGGGCUGCAGGGUCCACGGUGGAACCAGUGACAGGCCUUCCAGGCGGCUGGGGUCUGUGGUCCCCGUGGUCCCCCUGCUCCAGCAGCUGCACAGACCCCGCUCACCCUGCUUGGGGCAGCCGCAC